rnacentral:rRNA from 1 species
UCCGAAGGGGGCUCGCGUUGUUCGGCAUCACUGGGCGUAAAGCGCACGUAGGCGGAUCUUUAAGUCAGGGGUGAAAUCCCGAGGCUCAACCUCGGAACUGCCUUUGAUACUGGGGAUCUCGAGUCCGGGAGAGGUGAGUGGAACUGCGAGUGUAGAGGUGAAAUUCGUAGAUAUUCGCAAGAACACCAGUGGCGAAGGCGGCGCACUGGCCCGGAACUGACGCUGAGGUGCGAAAGCGUGGGGAGCAAACAGG